GAUGCUGCAUCAAAAAGGGCAGAGGAAAACAAAGCGCAAAGAGAGACGGACUGACAGACAGACACCGCUUCCUUCCACCUCCCCUGUCUUCUUCCCUCUCCACCUCGCCCCCCCUUCCAAAGCGCAUUUCUUUCCCUCUCGGCUCUCGCUUGCGUGCGUCUCCAUUAACUCCUCGCUCGCCAUUACCCGCCUCACGCCCCCAGCAAUGCCGCCGUGGAGCGUGCGCGCGCGCGCGGUGCUAGCCUGCUAGAUCCACCGCCGGGCGGAGGAAAGCCUGGUGAGGAGGGUGAGCUUGAAGGACGGCGGCGGCGGCGGGACGAGGAGGGAGAAGCGACGGGUGUGGUGGCAGGGAGAGGCGGGAGCGCCCAAUGCACGAGCACACCCUGGCCAGGGUGUG
rnacentral:lncRNA from 1 species